AGUGAACGCUGGCGGCGUGCCUAAUACAUGCAAGUCGAACGAAGUGGCGCACGGGUGAGUAAUAUAAAGUUAAUCUACCCUACACCGAGGAACAACAGUUGGAAACGGCUGCUAAUACCUCAUAGUGUAGUAUGAGACUAUAUCGUAUCAGCUAGUUGGUAAGGUAAUGGCUUACCAAGGGUAUGACGCGUAACUGGUCUGCGAGGAUGAUCAGUAACAUUGGAACGGAGACACGGUCCAGACUCCUACGGGAGGGAGCAGUAAGGAAUAAUGCGCAAUGGGGGAAACCCUGACGCAGCAACGCCGCGUGGAGGAUGACACUUUUCGGAGCGUAAACUCCUUUUAUCAGGAAAGCGGUACCUGAUGAAUAAGCACCGGCUAACUCCGUGCCAGCAGCCGCGGUAAUAC
rnacentral:rRNA from 1 species